UACCAGCACCCCGAGUGGUUGGGACAAUUAUUGGGCCUAAAGCAUCCGUAGCCGGUCCUACAAGUCUUCCGUUAAAUCCACCUGCUUAACAGAUGGGCUGCGGAAGAUACUAUAGGGCUAGGAGGCGGGAGAGGCAAGCGGUACUCAGUGGGUAGGGGUAAAAUCCUCUGAUCCAUUGAAGACCACCAGUGGCGAAGGCGGCUUGCCAGAACGCGCUCGACGGUGAGGGAUGAAAGCUGGGGGAGCAAACCGG
rnacentral:rRNA from 1 species